UACGUAGGUGACCAGCGUUGUCCGGAUUUACUGGGCGUAAAGAGCGCGCAGGCGGUCGUUCAAGUCGAGUGUGAAAGCCCCCGGCUCAACUGGGGAGGGUCAUUCGAUACUGAUCGACUCGAAGGCAGGAGAGGGAAGCGGAAUUCCCGGUGUAGUGGUGAAAUGCGUAGAUAUCAGGAGGAACACCUGUGGUGUAGACAGCUUACUGGACCACUUCUGACGCUGAGACACGAAAGCGUGGGUAGCAAACAGG
rnacentral:rRNA from 1 species